rnacentral:rRNA from 1 species
AGUGAACGCUGGCGGUAGGCCUAACACAUGCAAGUCGAACGAACGCACAGUAAGAUCUCGCCUUUACCGGUAGCGAGUGGCGGGCGGGUGAGGCAUACAUAGGCAUCUAAUUUUUCGUGGGGGACAACGGGAGGCAACUUCUGCUACCACCUCAUACGUCCUACGGGAGGAAGCAAGAGAUCUUCAGACCUUGCGUGUUUGAAUGAGACGAUGUCGGAUUAGCUAGUUGGCGAGGUAAAGGCCCACCAAGGCGACGAUGCGUAGCUGAUCUGAGAGGAUGAUCAGCCACACUGGAACUGAGACACGGUCCAGACUCCUACGGGAGGCAGCAGUGGGGAAUAUUGCACAAUGGGCGCAAGCCUGAUCCAGCCAUACCGCGUGAGUGAAGAAGGCCUUCGGAUUGUAAAGCCCUUUUGUUGGGAAAGAAAAGCAGUAGGUGAAUCUCCCGCUGUCCUGACGGUACCCAAAGAAAAAGCACCGGCUAACUUCGUG